rnacentral:lncRNA from 1 species
UUGCUAUUUUUUUUUUUGCAUCUUGUGUUUCACUACUUGAACAUAUAUUUCGCGUAGAAAAUGUUACUGUUAUCUGUUUGGACAGUUAUUGUUGAAUUUAAUCUUAUUUGCAAGACUUAUAUUUAUGCCAGUAUAAUGUUUUUCUGUUCUGUUAGAAUUUUUUUGCAUUGAGUUUACAUAAAUAAUGAUGAUUGAAUAUGUUGUGGGUAAUGAAAGCUUUAUGUGAUAUAUGUAGUCCUCUUGUUCAUUUAAUGUGAUAUUUUACUGAAAUGGUGCAAUUAUUUUACAAGACCAAUUUAUACGUUGAAUAAU